rnacentral:lncRNA from 1 species
ACAGACAUUAAACCACUAUGGUGUAUAUCUCAGUGUAGAGCCCACCAACAGACCUAACACUGUGGUGUAGAGCUCAGUGUAGAGCCACAACAGACAUUAACACUAUGGUGUAGAUCUCAGUGUAGAGCCACCAACAGACAUUAACACCCUAUGGUGUAGAUCUCAGUGUAGAGCCACCAACAGACAUUAACACUAUGGUGUAGAUCUCAGUGUAGAG